UUUGCGCUACUGAAGCUUAAAAGGCAUCGUAGAUUUUUCAACAACGCAGCUGCAAGUUCCACCAUUUCCUAGAACUUGUCUGACGAAUCGAACUGUGAGUUAGGCACCAAAGCGUCGGCGACCAACUAAAGGUGCCUGACUUGCAAGUAAAGAGUUAUCGCUCCAAGAGGACGCCGAGGCGGACGGACCUAUUGAAAAUGGGAAGCACACAUAUCUCCAAAGACUUGCAAUCAAUUUUCAGGAUAAUCGAUGAGAACAAGGCUGCAAUGGUGGGUUCUCUCAAGGAACUGGUCUCCAUUUCAAGCGUGUCGGCGCAGACCAAACAUCGAGCGGACGUUAAACGCUGCAUCGAGUGGA
rnacentral:lncRNA from 1 species